rnacentral:miRNA from 1 species
AGGUUUGCUCUGGACUUUGGAAUC